rnacentral:rRNA from 1 species
AUUGAACGCUGGCGGCAGGCCUAACACAUGCAAGUCGAGCGAGCGGCGGACGGGUGAGUAAUGUCUGGGAAACUGCCUGAUGUAGGGGGAUAACUACUGGAAACGGUAGCUAAUAACGCAUACCAUCAGAUGUGCCCAGAUGGGAUUAGCUGGUAGGUGGGGUAACGGCGCACCUAGGCGACGAUCCCUAGCUGGUCUGAGAGGAUGACCAGCCACACUGGAACUGGGACACGGUCCAGACUCCAACGGGAGGCAGCAGUGGGGAAUAUUGCACAAUGAGCGAAAGCCGGAUGCAGCCAGGCCGCGUGUGUGAAGAAGGCCUUCGGGUUGUAAAGCACGUUCAGCGGGGAGGCGUUACCCGCAGAAGAAGCACCGGCUAACUCCGUGCCAGCAGCCGCGGUAAUAC